AUUGAACGCUGGCGGCAGGCCUAACACAUGCAAGUCGAGCGGCAGCGGGAAAGUAGCUUGCUACUUUUGCCGGCGAGCGGCGGACGGGUGAGUAAUGCCUGGGGAUCUGCCCAGUCGAGGGGGAUAACUACUGGAGACGGUAGCUAAUACCGCAUACGCCCUACGGGGGAAAGCAGGGGACCUUCGGGCCUUGCGCGAUUGGAUGAACCCAGGUGGGAUUAGCUAGUUGGUGAGGUAAUGGCUCACCAAGGCGACGAUCCCUAGCUGGUCUGGGGAGGUGAGCAGCCACACUAGAACUGAGACACGGUCCAGACUCAUACGGGAGGCAGCAGUGGGGAAUAUUGCACAAUGGGGGAAACCCUGAUGCAGCCAUGCCGCGUGUGUGAAGAAGGCCUUCGGGUUGUAAAGCACUUUCAGCGAGGAGGAAAGGUUGGUAGCUAAUAACUGCCAGCUGUGACGUUACUCGGAAGAAGCACCGGCUAACUCCGUGCCAGCAGCCGCGGUAACAC
rnacentral:rRNA from 1 species